CCCUGAUGCCGAGGGAUGGAUAGAGCGGCUGCCCUGCGAGCCGCCGGCAUGCUGGAGAGGAAGGAGCGGAGCGGCGGCGAGGCGGCGGGGCCGCGGGGCUUGCCGGCCGUGCGGAGCACGCUGCAGCAGUGCGGGCUGCUACAGGACCUCAUCGACAUCUCGCUCUCCAACCUGCGCGGGCUCCGCACUAAGUGUGCCGCGUCCAACGACCUCACGCAGCAGGAGAUCCGCACGCUGGAGGUGAAGCUGAUUGACUACAUCCACCGGCAGCGGCAGUGCAAGCUGAGCGUGCCCCUGAGCGACCGCACCGCCGAGCUCAACAGCUACCCCCGCUUCAACGACUGGCUGGACAUCGUCAACGUCAGGAAGGAGGUGGUGCAGAGAAUACCAGAGGAGCUGACCCUGGAUGCCUUACUAGAAAUGAAUGAGUCAAAGGUGAAAGAAACAAUGAAGAGAUGUGGAGCCAGGGAUGAGGAGUGCUCCAGGCUCAACGGGGCCCUGAGCUGCCUGCGGAAGGUGACGGAGUCAGGAGGGGAGCUGCGGGACGAUGUGCCGAUGGCCCUCCCCGAGCGCCGGGACAGCUCCUGCUCGCAGCCGGACCCCGCCUGGUCCCCGAGCGCCGCGGCCAAGGGCAGCCAGCAGCAGCCGCGCUCCGUGUCCGCGCCCUGCGAGCCGAACCCGAGCCACGGGCCCGGUCCCUCGGCAGAGACGCUGCUGGAGCCGCUGGUGCUGCCCGCGGCCGGGGGCAGGCCCCGGACUCCGCACAGCAUCACCGUCACCCCCCCGGCCACGCCGCAGCCCAAGCGCCGGCACCGCCUGAAGCCGCCGCGGACGCCGCCGCCCCCCUGCCGCAAGGUGUUCCAGCUGCUGCCCAACUUCCCCACCCUCACCAGGAGCAAGUCCCACGAGUCUCAGCUGGGCAACAGGAUAGACGAAGUUCCUCCAAUAAAGUUCGAGCUCUCCCAGGGAUCCCCCCAGAUGGUACGAAGAGACUUUGGCCUCGCUGUGACUCACAGGUUCUCUACAAAGUCCUGGUUAUCUCAGAUUUGCCAGGUGUGCCAGAAAAGCAUGAUGUUCGGGGUGAAGUGUAAGUACUGCAGAUUAAAAUGUCACAACAAAUGUACUAAAGAGGCACCUGCUUGUAGAAUAUCCUUCCUUCCCAUAACAAAAAUAAGAAGAACAGAGUCUGUCCCAUCUGAUAUCAAUAAUCCAGUAGACAGACCCACAGAACCCCAGUUUGGAACUCUCCCCAAAGCACUAACUAAAAAGGAGCAUCCACCAGCAAUAAACCCCCUGGACUCCAGCAGUAAUCCUUCUUCUACAACCUCAUCCACUCCAUCUUCUCCAGCACCUUUCCAGUCUUCCAACCCUCCCAGUGCGACGCCGCCCCCAAACCCGUCCCCCAUGGGCCCGAGGGACGGGCGGUUCAACUUCCCAGCUGCCUACUACCUUCAGCAUAGACAACAGUUUAUCUUCCCAGAAAUUCCCAGUCCUGCACAAACAGCACAGCUUCCAGAAACUGCUGCAGACACUAACGCUGCCCAGCAGCCGGGCGCGGGCCGAGGCGCACGGGAAGCACAGGUGGAGGAACCAGAGGCCAGUAAGUCAGAGCCCGAGGACGAUGAGGACGAGGUGGAAGAUUUGCCCAACCGGCGGCCGCACCUGCAGGGGAUGAUCUACCGCAAACCCAGCCAGACCAGCGUGUACCUGCAGGAGUGGGACAUCCCCUUCGAGCAGAUCCAGCUGGGGGACCCCAUCGGCCAGGGCCGCUGGGGCAAGGUCUACAAGGGCAAGUGGCAUGGGGAGGUGGCCAUCAGGCUGCUGGAGAUCGACGGCAACAACCAGGAUCAUCUCAAGCUUUUCAAGAAGGAGGUGAUGAACUACAGGCAGACCCGGCAUGAGAACGUGGUGCUGUUCAUGGGAGCCUGCAUGAACCCCCCUCACUUAGCAAUCAUUACCAGCUUCUGCAAAGGAAGGACGCUGCACUCCUUUGUGAGGGACCCCAAGAUCUCCCUGGACAUCAACAAAACCAGGCAGAUAGCACAGGAGAUCAUUAAGGGCAUGGGGUAUCUCCACGCAAAGGGGAUUGUACAUAAGGAUCUGAAAUCCAAAAAUGUCUUCUAUGACAAUGGGAAAGUUGUGAUCACUGACUUUGGAUUAUUUGGAAUUUCGGGCGUGGUUCAGGAAGGAAGGAGGGAGAAUGAACUGAAGCUGCCUCAUGACUGGUUGUGCUACCUGGCCCCUGAGAUUGUCCGUGAGAUGGCCCCAGGGAAAGAUGAAGACAAGCUGCCUUUCUCCAAAGCUGCAGAUAUCUAUGCCUUUGGGACCGUGUGGUACGAGCUCCAGGCACGGGAGUGGCCGUUCAGGACCCAGCCUGCAGAGGCUCUCAUCUGGCAGAUCGGCAGCGGCGAGGGAGUCAGACAAGUCCUUGCCACUGUCAGCCUGGGCAAAGAGGUCAAUGAAAUCCUCUCGGCCUGCUGGGCCUUUGACCUCAGCGAGCGGCCCAGCUUCACUGUCCUCAUGGAAAUGCUUGAAAAACUGCCAAAACUGAACCGCCGGCUCUCCCACCCAGGGCACUUCUGGAAGUCUGCUGAGUUGUAGCUACUGGUGCAAUAACGGGCUCCACCUUGCAUGCUUCCAUGUGUCGUAUCCUAACUGGCAACUUGGACAAUCACCUUCCAUUAAAAAAGCCAAAACAAACCACGAAAUUAACCCAUGGACAUAAUCAACACUUUAUCCGAGUUCUUCUCGCUGCCUUUCGCUUGGUGUGGGCUGUAGCUUCAAUAACCACUCCUGUCUGCGGGACCUUCCUGGCUAACACGGCUGCUCUGCCCCGGGGCGCCCAGCAGCUGCGACUCCUCGGGACGGGCGCGGGGACCCGCUCUGACUGACCAGCAUUAACAGUAGCAAAGUUGUCCUGCGUUUUGAAAGAUUUGGCUUGGGAAUCCUGGAACCGAGUAACCCAAAGCUGUAGCCCGGUGUCAGUGUGACCGUGCUGGCUGCCUGCUCCCACGAGCACCAGAGACCCUCCCUGGCUGCCCGCGCCGAGGCUGGUGCGGCCCCACUGAAGACCAUCAGCUCAGCCCCGUGUCCUGCCUGAGCACCAGCAGCUAUUUAAACAAUGUUUACAUGAUACUUUUGUGUGAACUCUAUUUUUUUAAACAUAAUAAACAGUGAAUCAAGUUGAACUACAGCCAUUCUCAAAUAGCACUGAGAAAGAGCUGAGCUGUUCCUGGUUGCUCCUUGUGUCCGUGGUCAGUAGGAGCCACUCUGCCCUCAGAGCGGGGUCCCCUGGCCGUGGCACAGUGACGUGGCUCCUGUGAGGUGUUUGCCUUCCAGAGGCCAGCUCUCUCCUGAAGGCAGAGCCCAGCCUGCUGCACUGGCACUUGCCCAAACCACCCAUUGUUUCAGCAGGGCUGCUCCACCUCUGGGUCUCCCUGCAUUUGGCUACCAGAACAGAGCUGCUGCAGGUAGAGUGUCUGGCCAUGGGAGCUGGCUCUCAGUUAAUGACUCAAGUGCUCUUCUCCACAGAACUCACACUAAAACCUGCUUCCCCGUACAAUCCCAGAGGAAUUAAGAAUUGCUGGCCUUAAAAAAUAAACUCAUGAUUUGUCCACAGCUUUGCAUAGGGACCAAAUUCUUCUUUUGAAGUUCAGACAUAAGUUUGAGUGCAGGGAAAGGCAAGAGAAACAGGACAAGGGAAAAGCUGUCCCUAAAUAAUGCAUUAAACCAAGGCCUUGAUGCACAGAGCUUCAGAGUCCCUGCACGCACAUACACAGAGUGUUGCCACUGCCUACAGCUGGCCACGUUUGAGCUUGCAAGUUCUUUGUUUGAAAAACAUAGGACCAAAGCAGUUGCUAUGAGGGAAAAAAACCUUUAAGAAUAACAAAUCUUGUAACCAAGAAGGCAGUACCUGGGCCUGGAGGUUCUGCCUGACCCAGACACCUCAAAUUUGCUUCAGAGGUUAGUUUUAAAACCAAAACCCACCCCCUCCUCCAGUGCAGUGUGGAGGUUAUGGAGGUGACAGAUGCAACAUCCCCCUUGGAAAUCAAUUGCAGGCCCCAUUAUCAGAGGCUCCCCAUUCCCCACCAUCAUCCCCAAGGCUCAGGGGGAGCUCCCAGAUCUCUGUGAGCCGGCAAAGCACCAGCCCUCAGUUUGGCUGCCUUGUGUGAGGAACUAAGUGGCACAAAACCCAAGUUCUGCUGAGCAGAGAGCCUCGGUCAUGUGUGCAAGUCUGUUGUAGCCUCUUAAAAGUGUUGACAAAGACUUUUCAAAUGUGUUUCAGAUGAAAAAGAGAAAUGGGUUUGGCGUGGCCAGGCACUGCAGUGCUGUCCUGAUCCCCUGUCUCCCUUGGGCUCUGCUGUUCUCACUACCUGUGUGUCAGCAGCCUGAAGCAGAAGUUCUUCUCCCCCAAGUGCUGCUUAAUUAAGAGCAGCACAACACAAACCCAAAGCAGGGAAAAAAGGUGCUGCCCCUGGGCUGGAACCCUGUGUGGGCUUCCUGCCUGAGGGAGGGUAGGGCAGGAGCUGCUGCAGCUGCUGGAUGCAGACUGGCCCUUAGCUCAGUCAGUGUCAAGGCAGCAGUGGCCUUGGGGUGCUCCUCAUUCAGAUUUUGGGUGCAUAAAGAGGCCCUGAGAGCUGGGACACCCAGAACAUUCUGUGUGGGGUCAGUGGCCCGGCUGUGCAGGGCCCUGGCUCCUUGCAAGCACAGACUGUGACCCUUGGUCCCUCCCGUGCAGGUCAGGCCCUGCGUGUGGAGCCCUUUGUGCCCUGCCUUGCCCUGGUAGGAUGCUGGACACUGCGGGAUGUGCCCCAGUCCUGGCACAGGGGCUUGUUCAUAGUCUGCCCUUAAUGAGGAGAUGGGAUUGGAAUCCAGCCUGACCUGGCUGGUGUGUGGGACACCCAUAAAUUGCCCUUGAAAACAAAGCUCAUUCUCUGCCCCAGUGCAGCCAGAGGAGAGCCCGGCAGUGUCUGCAGGGUGGUUUUUGUUUUGGCCAGCCAGGGGCACCCGGCUGAGCCCGGUGGGGCUCUGGGCACAGAGCCUGGGGCCACGGAGCUGUCCUGGCCCCACACACCAAGCCAAGUCCCUGGGUUGUGUUUGUGUCAUGUCCCACCCCGGUGGAGCUGUCAAUGUGACAAUGCUGUGCAAUGCUGCUACAGGAGCCACAUGUCAGUAGUGAAUGUAAAUGGUUGUAACAUGGUGAACAUGGACAUGUUUUCUUUUCAAAUGUGAUGUAAACUUUGUACAGUACAAAAUUUUUUUUAUAUUUUCUAUGAACUGAGUGUCUUCCAGAAUUACUAUUAAAUUAAUUACAAAUUGUUAGAAUUAAGAACAGUUUCUGUAUUAGUUUAUGCAACCAACAAAAAAGAAAAAAAGAGUGCACUCUAUGCUACUGGAAUUCUGGAUAUGUAGGAAUCUUUUCAGUGAAUAAAUCUUUGGUCUGGAUAAAGCGA